rnacentral:rRNA from 1 species
GACUAAGGCCAAACCAUGUCUAAUACACCUCAUCUCCUCUGAUCUGGGAAGCUAAGCAGGGUCUGGCAUUCUUAGUCUUGAAUUAGAGAUUGCCUGGGAAUACUGGGUGAUGUAGGGU